UACAGAGGUCUCAAGCGUUGUUCGGAUUCAUUGGGCGUAAAGGGUGCGUAGGUGGUGCUGUAAGUCAGGUGUGAAAUCUCGAGGCUCAACCCCGAAACUGCACUUGAUACUGCAGUGCUCGAGGACUGGAGAGGAGAGUGGAAUUUACGGUGUAGCGGUGAAAUGCGUAGAUAUCGUAAGGAACACCGGUGGCGAAGGCGGGUCCCUGGGCCGAAAUUGACGCUGAGGAGCGAAAGCGUGGGGAGCAAACAGG
rnacentral:rRNA from 1 species